rnacentral:sRNA from 1 species
GCCAGGCAUGGUCAUGAAUGCCUGUAAUCCUAGCUACUUGGGAGGCUGAGCCAGGAGGAUUGCAUGUUCAAGGCCAGCCUGGGCAACUUGGUGAAACCCUAUCUCAA